UGGUGUCCAACAAGAGCUGAACUGUAUC
rnacentral:piRNA from 1 species